UACAGAGGGUGCAAGCGUUAAUCGGAAUUACUGGGCGUAAAGCGCGCGUAGGUGGUUUGUUAAGUUGAAUGUGAAAGCCCCGGGCUCAACCUGGGAACUGCAUCCAAAACUGGCAGGCUAGAGUAUGGUAGAGGGUGGGUGGAAUUUCCUGUGUAGCGGUGAAAUGCGUAGAUAUCUGGAGGAACACCGGUGGCGAAGGCGGCAUCCUGGACCAAUACUGACGCUGAGGAGCGAAAGCCAGGGAGCAAAC
rnacentral:rRNA from 1 species